rnacentral:lncRNA from 1 species
GAGGAGCGCUCCCUCGGGCUCUCCUGGUCUGACUCACCCCGCAGCAACCGCGGCGGUGGGGACAAGGCCUCCCUCAGGGUCCCGACCCGACCGCACUGCAGAGGGGUGUCUCCUCAGUGCCCGGCUCAUGCCGGGGGCAACAGCGACGCCAGCACCUGUCUAGGCGGUCCCACCUCCUCCCACGGCCGGAGCCCGACCUCAGGCCUGACCCCGACUGCCAGGGCUUCCCCCGCUGACACGGCGCGGACGGCUUGUCCUCACGGUCCUACAGACUAACGCUGGGGUUCCGUAAAAGCGGGACGUAGAUGGAAGAGGGAGACAAAGAUGCUUAGGUCUAAGGAGGGCACGCUCACCUGGAGGGAUCCGGACGUGAAAACGGAAGAAGCCGACUUCCGAGGAGCCGCUCGGCAUCCAAAAUGGCGACUCCCUCGACCUCCCCACCGCGGACUCGAGCGGAGGAAUCCAAGGGGGCGGUGUUAGCCACGCCCUACCUAGCAGGGAUUGGCUGCGCACACAACAAGGGGCGGAGCGAGGGACUAUUUCCCACGGCGGAGGCGUGGGACCUGACUUGUGACACUUAACGUCACGCAGUGGGUUGAGUCAUUUGCUAAGGGCGCGCCUUGCAAUUUGCCCCGGGCGCGGCGGGGCGGGUGGAGGCUUCUCCUGGAUUCUGUGCCCGGUACCCUUGUUCCAGAUUCUUCCAGCCCCUGGAAAAACCGGCUGCAGACUGUCUCGCAAACGCCCGCGGAUCCGAGCGGAGUCUGGCUUCCCCACUUAGCUCACCGGUCGGUCGGUCGGUCGGUCGGUCGGUCCUGGGACUCCGACCUCGGAGGGAUGGUUGGGCGAGAUUCAGCGCUGUGGAGCCGACUUUCCUCCACCGCCUCUCUUUCCACCGACACUGUCCGCCCCGCACCUUCACUAAUGUACUCUGCACAGCCUCCACUCUCGCUCUUAUUUUGUAUCUGUAUUCAGAGGCUUUUCUGGGCUUGAAAGCGAGAAAGAGCCUUCCUGUUCUCUGGCUCUUGGCCCUGCUAUGAGGCCACAGCUAUCAAGACCAAAACUGUGGCUUGUCUUGGGUCAGUGGUAAAACGAGGACUGCAGGUUACUUUGGGAGGAUAAUAUGAAUUGAAAAUAACUGGCUUGUAACCAUGUGCCGCUGUUCAAAGCUCCAGGAUACUAGGACCUUAGAAUUACACAAUAUUUGGUUCCCAUAAAAUGUUCAGAUCGUUCCCCCAGCAAAAUAUUUGCAUAGAAAAAUUGUAGUUCUGCAAUGAGAUCAUGACAUUUGUGGCUAACACUUUCUACACACACAGUCCCAACAACAAAGUACAAUGAUAGAAAAAUUUCCCCUGAAGCACAAAUUAGUUUAUUGGGCUCAUUUACAGACCAUAGGUGACAAGUCACUUAACAAGCAAGUGAGUAAUCACUCUCCUUCAAAUAAGCUUGCACUGGAAAGUAUCCAGUAGAAAUGAAGGCUUCCUGGCAUGGAUGGAGCCCACUUCCCUACUGCUCUCCAGCCCACACUCUAGCCCCUCCCCAGGCUACACGUAAUUAGGGCGGAAGUACGUUCAACAGCUGGUAUCGAUUGCAGGCAUACCCAGGUGAGGGUUCCAAGACCCUCUUGGCCCCUCCUUCAAAUAUGAUGAUCUUUGGGCACAGCUACAUUCCUGAAGAUGGCUGUUGUUUGGCUCCGAUGAUAGAAAAGUAUCGCAGCACUUAAGGGGCAGGUUGUUCAUAUUUAAAGUGCCUAGGGACAACCCAACCGAAGGUGCGAAUGUGUGUGGACAUUGUUUAGAUACAGUUUCAAACUAACCAAUCCUUUUUUUUUUUCAGAUGAAUGUCAUUAGAUAAUAAAGGCAUACAUAUCAGAUAUUGUUAUUUUGUAUAAAAUCUUUUCAUGUAAGAAAUGCCUAUGUGUAUAAAGGUAAAAUGGCAGCCAUAAAGCUUCAGUUUGUUUGUUUAAUGGUGAUGAGGACUGGAGUGUCCUUGCUAGCUUUAUUAUGUUUUCAGAUACUGAAGUCAGGGCUGAAGAAAUGGCUCAGUGGCUAAGAGUGAACACUGUUUUUCCAGAGGACAAGAGUUGGGUUUCCAGCACCUGUGACAGGUGGUUCAAAACCACCUAAUUUCAACCCCAGGGGAUCUCUGUAGUGGUUAUUCCUGGUUGUCAACUUGACUAUAUUUGGAAUGAACUCCAAUCCAGAAUUGGAAGGGUCACCAGUGACCCUGAUCUGGAGGCUGGGAGAUAGAAGUUUCUGACCUGGAUCUUGGUAUGGAGAUCUUGAAGACAGUGAGAUCUCUGAGUUCAAGGUCAUCUGGGAUUAAAGGUGUGGUGGUACACACCUUUAAUCUGGGCUACACCUUCUGCUAGAGACCAUAUAAGGACAUUGGAAGAAGGAAGUUGUGCUCUCGCUCCGUUGACUGCUUGCCGUGUGGGACUGAGUAACUGCUAGAUCCUUGGACUUCCAUUCACAGCUACGACUGAACCAUUGUUGGGAAUUGGACUGCAGACUGUAAGUCAUCAAUAAAUUCCUUUACUAUAUAGAGACUACCC